GAGUUUGAUCAUGGCUCAGAUUGAACGCUGGCGGCAUGCCUUACACAUGCAAGUCGAACGGUAACAGGUUAAGCUGACGAGUGGCGAACGGGUGAGUAAUAUAUCGGAACGUGCCCAGUAAUGGGGGAUAGCCCGGCGAAAGCCGGAUUAAUACCGCAUACGACCUACGGGUGAAAGCAGGGGAUCGCAAGACCUUGCGUUAUUGGAGCGGCCGAUAUCAGAUUAGCUUGUUGGUGGGGUAAAAGCCCACCAAGGCGACGAUCUGUAGCUGGUCUGAGAGGACGACCAGCCACACUGGGACUGAGACACGGCCCAGACUCCUACGGGAGGCAGCAGUGGGGAAUUUUGGACAAUGGACGCAAGUCUGAUCCAGCCAUGCCGCGUGCGGGAAGAAGGCCUUCGGGUUGUAAACCGCUUUUGUCAGGGAAGAAAAGUUCUGGGUUAAUACCUCGGGACGAUGACGGUACCUGAAGAAUAAGCACCGGCUAACUACGUGCCAGCAGCCGCGGUAAUACG
rnacentral:rRNA from 1 species